rnacentral:rRNA from 1 species
UGGCGGACGGGUGAGUAAUGUCUGGGAAACUGCCUGAUGGAGGGGGAUAACUACUGGAAACGGUAGCUAAUACCGCAUAACGUUGCAAGACCAAAGAGGGGGACCCUCGGGCCUCUUGCCAUCGGAUGUGCCCAGAUGGGAUUAGCUAGUAGGUGGGGUAACGGCUCACCUAGGCGACGAUCCCUAGCUGGUCUGAGAGGAUGACCAGCCACACUGGAACUGAGACACGGUCCAG